UAACGCGUGAGGAACCUACCUUCCAGAGGGGGACAACAGUUGGAAACGACUGCUAAUACCGCAUGACGCAUGACCGGGGCAUCCCGGGCAUGUCAAAGAUUUUAUCGCUGGAAGAUGGCCUCGCGUCUGAUUAGCUAGAUGGUGGGGUAACGGCCCACCAUGGCGACGAUCAGUAGCCGGACUGAGAGGUUGACCGGCCACAUUGGGACUGAGAUACGGCCCAGACUCCUACGGGAGGCAGCAGUGGGGAAUAUUGGGCAAUGGACGCAAGUCUGACCCAGCAACGCCGCGUGAAGGAAGAAGGCUUUCGGGUUGUAAACUUCUUUUGUCAGGGAAGAGUAGAAGACGGUACCUGACGAAUAAGCCACGGCUAACUACGUGCCAGCAGCCGCGGUAAUACGUAGGUGGCAAGCGUUGUCCGGAUUUACUGGGUGUAAAGGGCGUGCAGCCGGGCCGGCAAGUCAGAUGUGAAAUCCGGAGGCUUAACCUCCAAACUGCAUUUGAAACUGUAGGUCUUGAGUACCGGAGAGGUUAUCGGAAUUCCUUGUGUAGCGGUGAAAUGCGUAGAUAUAAGGAAGAACACCAGUGGCGAAGGCGGAUAACUGGACGGCAACUGACGGUGAGGCGCGAAAGCGUGGGGAGCAAACAGAAUUAGAUACCCUGGUAGUCCACGCUGUAAACGAUGGAUACUAGGUGU
rnacentral:rRNA from 1 species